rnacentral:rRNA from 1 species
GACGAACGCUGGCGGCGUGCUUAACACAUGCAAGUCGAACGAAGAGCGAUGGUAGCUUGCUUCUAUCAAUCUUAGUGGCGAACGGGUGAGUAACGCGUAAUCAACCUGCCCUUCAGAGGGGGACAACAGUUGGAAACGACUGCUGAUACCGCAUACGAUCUAAUCUCGGCAUCGAGGAUAGAUUAAAGGUGGCCUCUACAGGUAAGCUAUCACUGAAGGCGGGGAUUGCGUCUGAUUAGCUAGUUGGAGGGGUAACGGCCCACCAAGGCGAUGAUCAGUAGCCGGUCUGAGAGGAUGAACGGCCAAAUUGGGCAUGAGAAACGGCCCAGGCUCCUACGGGAGGCAGCAGUGGGGAAUCUUCCGCAAUGGACGAAAGUCUGACGGAGCAACGCCGCGUGAGUGAUGACGGCCUUCGGGUUGUAAAGCUCUGUUAAUCGGGACGAAAGGCCUUCUUGCGAAUAGUGAGAAGGAUUGACGGUACCGGAAUAGAAAGCCACGGCUAACUACGUG